rnacentral:rRNA from 1 species
UGGAGGGCAAGUCUGGUGCCAGCAGCCGCGCUUAUUCCAGCUCCAAUAGCGUAUAUUAAACUUGUUGCAGUUAAAAAGCUCGUAGUUGAAUUUCAGCGAUUCUGUCAUAUAUGCCAUGUGGUGUAUUGUCGGUUUCGCACUUAU